UUUCUGAGGACAGGCUCAGAACUUUUUGGAGCCUCCAGUACUUAGCUAAUAUCAGAGACUCUACUAACUCUGCUGUCUCCUGAAUCUGGCCUUUAUCUUCUGUUUCCAGCCUUCAAACUGCCAGAUGAGAAGCUGCAUGAGCUGUCCAGCUUCUGACUACAGACUGUCCAGAGGAAUUCCCAUGCUACUUACUUCCAGGCUGACUGAAAGACAGUGAGCUAUCUGUCCCUCCUUUCUUGUACCAUCGAUACAGUUACCAUGCCUGAUGGUGGUAGACUCCUCCAGGAAGGGGUCUGUGUGUGGUACACACAGGAUCCAGCCCUGUUCCUCAGUCAGUUCGUGAGCAGCUUCUUACAUCAGCACAGCAAGCACUUACUGUGUUUUAUCUCAGGACAUCUUUACCAGCUAACAUCCUCAUUCCAAACGCCCACGCUCAUAUACUUGAAGACAUCUUUUACACCUUCUCAGGAGUAUCAAGAAGAGUAGAAGGCUCGAAGUCUAAGGAAAUAAGCCAGGGCCCCUGAACUCAUGCCUUCUCACUUGGGCCUCCUCUCAAGCCUGAGGAAGCACCUGCCCUGCAGCCCUGCCCCAGACCUGCUGUAGUUCUCCUCAGGGCCUCUCUCUUCAGCGUCGGGCUCAUCAGUCCUGUCGUACGUCAGGAGGUCUGCCGGGACGUCGUGAAUCUGGACACUCGGUGCAUGGUUCAGCAUCUUCAGGUUUUCAAAGAUUGUCUGGCGGAUCUGGUCCAGAUACUAGUUCAGAAGAAAACAGUCAGUAGUGCUGGGGUGACUCCUAUACUAUCCGGAAUCCUGUCCUCCAUCGUCCCUGACUAUCCUCAGCUGGUAACUGUCCCUCCCAACCAACCCCACAAUAAGAGCAACAGUGACAGCCCAGAACUUCCUUCUCUUGCUCUCUCCAUUUCCCACCUCCUGGACCUCCCCUGAGCCCUCCCCUCAUUGCUGUGUCCAGCCUCCCCAAGCUGCUCACCUGGCGUGAGUUCUGAUUCUCGAUGCGGGUGCUGACAUCUGGGUGGAGUGUGAAAUCUGGGGCAAAGUACUCGAAGUACUCUUAGAGAUGAGAAGCAAUUGGGAGAGGGGAUGAACGAAAGUAUGGCUGAGAUACCAAAGACUGAAUCCCAUGGCUUUCCGAGCUCCUCUCCGAGGCCUGGUCCCCAUGUGUAAGAGUAUUUGCUCUGCUCUGAGCACAGGGGUUUAGUCUGCAGAGCUCCCAGAAGGUACAAUUUCCCUUCAAACAAGGUCAUUCUGAGGACUGGUGAGAAUGGUCCCCCUGUGGUGGCAUCAUGAAGUGGACCUUACCACUAUAGGGAAGUUCCUCACUAAUGGCCUCUUCUACCAGCAGAGAUGUUUCGUAUGUCCUGAAACCAGCAAGCAGAGGGGUUUGGGCUGGCGGCAUGGGCUGAAAGGACCACCCCUCCAAUUUCAGGGAGUCUAUGUGAACCACAGAGGAGCAGAACAGAAUACUCACCAGCACCGGGCAACGUUUCGGACAGUGUAGCCACCACCUCCCAGCACCAGGAGAGGGAUAUUGAAACUCUUGACAUAUUCAACACAUUCUCUGUUAGAAGCAACAAGAGGACUAGGUGAAUCUACGACAUGUGACCCCAGACAUGACUUGAAAUAUUGGACAAAGACUUGAUCAACAAAAUUUCUCUGUCAUAUUGCGUAGUACAACUCAAAGUUGCAUUCUUUGUGUGUGACUACUUGUAUAAAUGUGAGUCUUCACGUGUGCCAGUGAAUGUGUGUCUGAAGAUGUGUGCACAUGUGUUCACACAUGUAUACAAGGGCCAGAAGACAUCUUCAAGUGUUGGCCUAAAGGUACUAUCCACCUUUUUUUUUUUAACCUGGAACAUGCCAAGUAGGUUAAGCUGGCUGGCUACCAAGCCCUAUGAAUCUUCUGGUCUCUAUUUCACCAGGGCUGGGAUUAUGGCUUAUAAAUGGGUGCUACCGGGCCUAGUGUUUUUAUAUGAGUUCUGGGAUCAAACUCGAGUGUUCAUGCUGUAUAGCAAGCACUUUUACUGAGUGAGUUAGUCACCGUCCCCACCUGGCUCUGAGCUGUAUACUCAACAUACACACACACACACACGCACACACACACACAAAUGAACAAAUUAAAAUAAACCUUUUAAAAACACUA